rnacentral:rRNA from 1 species
UGGGGGAUAGCCCAGGGAAACUUGGAUUAAUACCCCGUAAUAUAUAGAGGCGGCAUCGCUUUUAUAUUAUAGCUCCGGCGCUUGAAGAUGGGUGUGCGGCUGAUUAGAUAGUUGGCGGGGUAACGGCCCACCAAGUCAACGAUCAGUAACUGGUGUGAGAGCACGACCAGUCACACGGGCACUGAGACACGGGCCCGACUCCUACGGGAGGCAGCAGUAAGGAAUAUUGGUCAAUGGACGCAAGUCUGAACCAGCCAUGCCGCGUGGAGGAUGAAGGUCCUCUGGAUUGUAAACUUCUUUUAUCUGGGAAGAAAUCCAUCUUUUCUUGGAUGGUUGACGGUACCAGAUGAAUAAGCACCGGCUAACUCCGUGCCAGCAGCCGCGGUAAUACGGAGGGUGCAAGCGUUAUCCGGAUUCACUGGGUUUAAAGGGUGCGUAGGUGGGCAGGUAAGUCAGUGGUGAAAUCUCCGGGCUUAACCCGGAAACUGCCAUUGAUACUAUUUGUCUUGAAUACUGUGGAGGUCAGCGGAAUAUGUCAUGUAGCGGUGAAAUGCUUAGAUAUGACAUAGAACACCAAUUGCGAAGGCAGCUGGCUACACAAAUAU